UCGCUGCAUCAAAAUGAUGCAGCCUUGAGACCAAAGUGCAUGUUUACCGUUAAGAUUUAUGCUUUAUGCGUUGAUUAAGACCAGAUUUUCAAAAAUCGACCGAAAGUUCUGUACGCAGUGAGAUCGUUACUGAGGCCAUUCCAUUUUUUCCUUAAUGUUUGGCCGUAAAGUACCAUACCUUUACUUUUUUAUAUAUAUAGCAUUUUUUUUUUUUUUUUUUUUGGAAAUGUGUUUUUCUGUUAUCAUGUUGGGGAUCUUGGUUGUAGAGAACAGAGUGGGGGUCCAUCAUUCAUAAGGGGUCAAAGUCACACGCCGAUUGCCUGUGGUUAUACGCAAGAGUACACAACUCCAUCAAGGAUUUUGGCUGAAUUAUAGCCCCUUUUGACUUAGAAAUCUUGGUUAAGUUUUUCGUACUAGUUGAUAUUUGUGUAAUGUUUUUUAAUGUAUAGCUUUGAAGCUUUUAUCACUUGUUCAAUAUAAUAGUCUCUACCUGUAGGCAAGAGUACAUAACUCUGUCAAUUUCCUAAAUCUGCUGCAGAUCAGUUCCCAUAUUUGUAUGAUUUAGACAUGAAAUCACGAUGGAUUUGCAAAAUUCGUGGCAUUUUUGAAGAAAUAGUGCUCAUUUUACCUUCUGCGCAUGAAAACAUUUGCUUAACUAAUGUAAAACACUCGAAAAAUGCGAAAACUUGCACAUGAGGUGACAAUUUUGGCCAAAAAUCGGGCAUGGGUUGGCCUUAGAAAAUCGGGAAUUUCUCGACUUUAACAUAGGACUUCUAAAUGGAACUGCACAGGUUGUCUUAAAUGAAGGUUUUCUGAUAAAUAAAUGCAAAAAUUGCCGAAAAUGAAAUAAAAUAGUUCACCUUAUAUCAGGACUCGCCCGUGUGUACUGUGAGGUCCACCUGUCCUAUCCUGACUUGAGCUCGCCAAUGCGAGCGGACGAGUGGAAUUUUACACCCCUGUGUCGGAAGCAAGACUAGCGCACAUGUAAGGUAUCGUUAGGAAAAAAGAUUUCAAAACACCAGACAAUGAUUUUAUCAUUGGAAGAAAGUAUUGUUUUAAAAAACAAAUAAGGUAGUUAAAGUUGUUUAGACAUUUUCAAAAAGAAUCGUUACAAUACUUUAAACAUUUUUUCUUUCAUCUUCAGCUCCUGUAAGGAAUCGAAUAGGACGUCGAAAAGGACGAAACAGAAAGCUGAGAAUUUACAAGAAUUAUAGAUAGGAUGGCUGAAAAAGUCAACUAUUACAUAAUUACACACAAGGGCAUUUCCUUAUCAACCAUAUACUGACACUUCCCAUCGCGUGAACCCUUACCAGACUACACUUGUUUAAAGGAAGAAAUGAGCAAAGGAUCCACCAUGGAUCGGCAUGAAUGGAUGUUCCCUUUCUCAGUGGUCUAAGGAAACAAGACUGAAAGCAGGCUUGCAGAAAUAACAGCAGAUCAAAAUCUGGUGUGGCAGGAUGACAAGUAAAGGUAAAAGCAAAGAAGUCAAGCACCGUCAUAAUCCGUCAAGUGCAGCACAACAAUGAAAAAUGCAGACUGUGUUCUUUAAAGCAAAAACACUGAUUUAUUUCUCGUCCAAUCUUCAGCGAAUUUGGUAUAGAUAUGUGUUCAACAAACCCUGUUGGCUUAAUAAGUGAAGAAGUUAUGUGUUUUAUGACAAUAAUAGUUUAGUCAAUAAGCGAAGCGAACAUUUGCAGCGCUGUUCUACAACAGUACAAAAAGACCAUGUCAGGACGUGUUACUGCCUGUAUCA
rnacentral:lncRNA from 1 species